CAGCCGCCGCGGUAAUACCGGCGGCCCGAGUGGUGGCCGCUAUUAUUGGGCCUAAAGCGUCCGUAGCCGGGUUGGGAAGUCCUCCGGGAAAUCUGGCCGCUUAACGGUCAGAAUGCCGGAGGAUACUCCCAGCCUAGGGAGCGGGAGAGGCCGAGGGUAUUCCCGGAGUAGGGGUGAAAUCCUAUAAUCCCGGGAGGACCACCUGUGGCGAAGGCGCUCGGCUGGAACGCGUCCGACGGUGAGGGACGAAGGCCAGGGGAGCAAACCGGAUUAGAUACCCGGGUAGUCCUGGCUGUAAACGAUGCGGACUUUGUGUCGGACAAGCUAUGAGCUUGUCCGGUGCCGGAGGGAAACCGUUAAGUCCGCCGCAUGGGGAGUACGGCCGCAAGGCUGAAACUUAAAGGAAUGGCGGG
rnacentral:rRNA from 1 species